CUGUUCGAGCGUCAGUACAACACUCAAGCUCUGCUUGGUAUUGGGCCCUGCCGGCAACGGCUGGCCUUAAAUCAGUGGCGGCGCAUCUGGCUCUAAGCGUAGUAAUAAUCCUCGCUAUAGGGUCCCGGUGGAUGCUUGCCAGCAACCCCCAACUUUCUAAGUUUGACCUCGGAUCAGGUAGGGAUACCCGCUGAACUUAA
rnacentral:misc_RNA from 1 species